GUGCCAGCCGCCGCGGCUAAUACGGAGGGUGCAAACGAUUGUCCGGAAUCACUGGGCGUAAAGCGCAUGUAGGUGGCUUAGUAAGUGGACGAUUAAAGACCGAUGCUCAACAUCGGGAAUGUUUUCCAAACUGCUUGGCUUGAGAAUGACAGGGGUAAGCGGAACUUUAGGUGUAGGAGUGAAAUCCGUAGAUAUCUAAAGGAACACCAAUGGCGAAGGCAGCUUACUGGGUCUUUUCUGACACUGAGAUGCGAAAGCGUGGGGAGCGAACGGGAUUAGAUACCCCGGUAGUCCACGCCGUAAACGAUGCACACUAGGUCUUGGGAGGUAUCGACCCCUCUUUGGACCGAAGCUAACGCGUUAAGUGUGCCGCCUGGGGAGUACGAGCGCAAGCUUAAAACUCAAAGGAAUUGACGGGGACCUGCACAAGUGGAGGAGCGUGUGGUUUAAUUCGACAGCAAGCGAAGAACCUUACCGAGGCUUGACAUCUCUGGAAGGCUCUGGAAACAGAGCUGUGCCGCAAGGAACCAGAUGACAGGUGCUGCACGGUUGUCGUCAGCUCGUGCUGUGAAGUGUCCCGUUCAGUCGGUUAACGAGCGCAACCCCUAUCCUGUGUUGUAUUUUUCACAGGAAACUGCCCUGGUUAAUAGGGAGGAAGGUGGGGAUGACGUCAAAUCAGCGUGGCUCUUACGCCUCGGGCUACACACGCGCUACAAUGGGGAGUAACAAUGGGUCGCCAAGCCGCAAGGCGGAGCUAAUCCCAACAAACCUCCCCCCAGUUCGGAUCGAGGGCUGCAACUCGCCCCCGUGAAGUCGGAUUCACUAGUAACGGCCGGUCAGCCAUACGGCCGUGAAUACGUUCCCAGGUCUUGCACUCACCGCCCGUC
rnacentral:rRNA from 1 species